UACAGAGGUGGCAAGCGUUGUUCGGAAUUCCUGGGCGUAAAGGGCGCGUAGGCGGUCUUGCAAGUCCUGUGUGAAAUCCCUCGGCUCAACUGAGGAACUGCACAGGAAACUGCUUGGCUUGAGUUCGGGAGAGGGAAGCGGAAUUCCGGGUGUAGCGGUGAAAUGCGUAGAUAUCCGGAGGAACACCGGUGGCGAAGGCGGCUUCCUGGCCUGUUCUUGACGCUGAGGCGCGAAAGCUAGGGGAGCAAACGGG
rnacentral:rRNA from 1 species